AUGGCCUGGACUCCUCUCCUCCUCCUGUUCCUCUCUCACUGCACAGGUUCCCUCUCGCAGGCUGUGCUGACUCAGCCGUCUUCCCUCUCUGCAUCUCCUGGAGCAUCAGCCAGUCUCACCUGCACCUUGUGCAGUGGCAUCAAUGUUGGUACCUACAGGAUAUACUGGUACCAGCAGAAGCCAGGGAGUCCUCCCCAGUAUCUCCUGAGGUACAAAUCAGACUCAGAUAAGCAGCAGGGCUCUGGAGUCCCCAGCCGCUUCUCUGGAUCCAAAGAUGCUUCGGCCAAUGCAGGGAUUUUACUCAUCUCUGGGCUCCAGUCUGAGGAUGAGGCUGACUAUUACUGUAUGAUUUGGCACAGCAGCGCUUCU